rnacentral:rRNA from 1 species
CACUAUCGUUAACUGAAUACAUAGGUUAACGAGGCGAACCGGGGGAACUGAAACAUCUAAGUACCCCGAGGAAAAGAAAUCAACCGAGAUUCCCCCAGUAGCGGCGAGCGAACGGGGAGCAGCCCAGAGUCUGAAUCAGCUUGUGUGUUAGUGGAACGGUCUGGAAAGUCCGACGGUACAGGGUGAUAGUCCCGUACACCAAAAUGCACAGGCUGUGAACUCGAAGAGUAGGGCGGGACACGUGGUAUCCUGUCUGAAUAUGGGGGGACCAUCCUCCAAGGCUAAAUACUCCUGACUGACCGAUAGUGAACCAGUACCGUGAGGGAAAGGCGAAAAGAACCCCGGCGAGGGGAGUGAAAAAGAACCUGAAACCGUGUACGUACAAGCAGUGGGAGCACCUUCGGGUGUGACUGCGUACCUUUUGUAUAAUGGGUCAGCGACUUAUAUUCUGUAGCAAGGUUAACCGUAUAGGGGAGCCGCAGGGAAACCGAGUCUUAACUGGGCGUUAAGUUGCAGGGUAUAGACCCGAAACCCGGUGAUCUAGCCAUGGGCAGGUUGAAGGUUGGGUAACACUAACUGGAGGACCGAACCGACUAAUGUUGAAAAAUUAGCGGAUGACUUGUGGCUGGGGGUGAAAGGCCAAUCAAACCGGGAGAUAGCUGGUUCUCCCCGAAAGCUAUUUAGGUAGCGCCUCGUGAAUUCAUCUUCGGGGGUAGAGCACUGUUUCGGCUAGGGGGUCAUCCCGACUUACCAACCCGAUGCAAACUACGAAUACCGAAGAAUGUUAUCACGGGAGACACACGGCGGGUGCUAACGUCCGUCGUGAAGAGGGAAACAACCCAGACCGCCAGCUAAGGUCCCAAAGUCGUGGUUAAGUGGGAAACGAUGUGGGAAGGCACAGACAGCCAGGAUGUUGGCUUAGAAGCAGCCAUCAUUUAAAGAAAGCGUAAUAGCUCACUGGUCGAGUCGGCCUGCGCGGAAGAUGUAACGGGGCUAAACCAUGCACCGAAGCUGCGGCAGCGACACUAUGUGUUGUUGGGUAGGGGAGCGUUCUGUAAGCCUGCGAAGGUGUGCUGUGAGGCAUGCUGGAGGUAUCAGAAGUGCGAAUGCUGACAUAAGUAACGAUAAAGCGGGUGAAAAGCCCGCUCGCCGGAAGACCAAGGGUUCCUGUCCAACGUUAAUCGGGGCAGGGUGAGUCGACCCCUAAGGCGAGGCCGAAAGGCGUAGUCGAUGGGAAACAGGUUAAUAUUCCUGUACUUGGUGUUACUGCGAAGGGGGGACGGAGAAGGCUAUGUUAGCCGGGCGACGGUUGUCCCGGUUUAAGCAUGUAGGCUGGUUGUCCAGGCAAAUCCGGAUAAUCAAGGCUGAGGUGUGAUGACGAGGCACUACGGUGCUGAAGUAACAAAUGCCCUGCUUCCAGGAAAAGCCUCUAAGCAUCAGGUAACAUCAAAUCGUACCCCAAACCGACACAGGUGGUCAGGUAGAGAAUACCAAGGCGCUUGAGAGAACUCGGGUGAAGGAACUAGGCAAAAUGGUGCCGUAACUUCGGGAGAAGGCACGCUGGUGUGUAGGUGAAGUCCCUGCGGAUGGAGCUGAGACCAGUCGAAGAUACCAGCUGGCUGCAACUGUUUAUUAAAAACACAGCACUGUGCAAACACGAAAGUGGACGUAUACGGUGUGACGCCUGCCCGGUGCCGGAAGGUUAAUUGAUGGGGUUAUCCGUAAGGAGAAGCUCUUGAUCGAAGCCCCGGUAAACGGCGGCCGUAACUAUAACGGUCCUAAGGUAGCGAAAUUCCUUGUCGGGUAAGUUCCGACCUGCACGAAUGGCGUAAUGAUGGCCAGGCUGUCUCCACCCGAGACUCAGUGAAAUUGAACUCGCUGUGAAGAUGCAGUGUACCCGCGGCAAGACGGAAAGACCCCGUGAACCUUUACUAUAGCUUGACACUGAACAUUGAGCCUUGAUGUGUAGGAUAGGUGGGAGGCUUUGAAGCGUGGACGCCAGUCUGCGUGGAGCCAACCUUGAAAUACCACCCUUUAAUGUUUGAUGUUCUAACGUUGGCCCCUUACCGGGGUUGCGGACAGUGUCUGGUGGGUAGUUUGACUGGGGCGGUCUCCUCCCAAAGCGUAACGGAGGAGCACGAAGGUUAGCUAAUCCUGGUCGGACAUCAGGAGGUUAGUGCAAUGGCAUAAGCUAGCUUGACUGCGAGCGUGACGGCGCGAGCAGGUGCGAAAGCAGGUCAUAGUGAUCCGGUGGUUCUGAAUGGAAGGGCCAUCGCUCAACGGAUAAAAGGUACUCCGGGGAUAACAGGCUGAUACCGCCCAAGAGUUCAUAUCGACGGCGGUGUUUGGCACCUCGAUGUCGGCUCAUCACAUCCUGGGGCUGAAGUAGGUCCCAAGGGUAUGGCUGUUCGCCAUUUAAAGUGGUACGCGAGCUGGGUUUAGAACGUCGUGAGACAGUUCGGUCCCUAUCUGCCGUGGGCGCUGGAGAAUUGAGGGGGGCUGCUCCUAGUACGAGAGGACCGGAGUGGACGCAUCACUGGUGUUCGGGUUGUCAUGCCAAUGGCACUGCCCGGUAGCUAAAUGCGGAAGAGAUAAGUGCUGAAAGCAUCUAAGCACGAAACUUGCCCCGAGAUGAGUUCUCCCUGAGACUUUAAGUCUCCUGAAGGAACGUUAAAGACGAUGACGUUGAUAGGCCGGGUGUGUAAGCGCAGCGAUGCGUUGAGCUAACCGGUACUAAUGAACCGUGAGGCUUAACCUU